UCCCUGUUCAAAAUUCUUAUC
rnacentral:piRNA from 1 species